rnacentral:rRNA from 1 species
UAACCUGCCUUGGAGUGGGGAAUAACAGUUGGAAACAGCUGCUAAUACCGCAUAAUGCAGUUGAGUCGCAUGGCUCUGACUGCCAAAGAUUUAUCGCUCUGAGAUGGACUCGCGUCUGAUUAGCUAGUUGGUGGGGCAACGGCCCACCAAGGCGACGAUCAGUAGCCGGACUGAGAGGUUGGCCGGCCACAUUGGGACUGAGACACGGCCCAGACUCCUACGGAAGGCAGCAG